UGUCUUUCAUUAGAGGUGACCAGUUGACAUAAGGUAAAGUCUACAUUGUGCAGCUCUUAUUAUUGUGUGUGAGGCCUCAUUAAGCAGCUGAUUCUGAUUGGGCAGCUUUUAUUAUAUAGCGCCAGGGCCUUAGCAGGAGCCCCACAUAAUGAGGGUCAGAGCAGAAGACAAGGAGAAUAAUAUUCAUAGGGAGCGAUAAAGUUGCAGCGACUUCACCAUUUAAAAAAAACAU
rfam:Xenopus laevis strain J chromosome 5L, whole genome shotgun sequence.